AGCUAACUGCAGCACGCCCGGCUCCGCUGCCCGCGCCCGGCGGGGUCCCGCCGCGAAGCCCCGUGCUUAAGGUCCGGGCCGCCCGCGUCCGCUCGGCAGGCCCUGCGCCGCCUCCUACUCCGGGCCGCGGCGUCUCCUGCCUGCGCGGGGCUAGCGUGGGCGCCGGGGCCGCAACCAGCGCGCGCCACGCGCGGGGGCCCGCGGGGGCCCUCGGGGCCGAGGAGCUGGGCGCUCGCCUGCACCGAGCCGCCUCCUCAUGCCGCGCCGGGCCCCGGCGCCCCGCGGCCGCCGCGGGAGCUGAGCACAGGCCAGGGCGGCGUCCCGGCCAGCGACGAACGCGCUCCGACUCCGGCCGCCGCCAGCUGCCUGCCUGGCCGCAAGGGCGGCAGCGGCAUUACCGCCGCGCGCCCGGGGUGAGGCGCCCCCGCCGGGCCCGCGGACACCAGGCGAAGAGCAACCGGGCGACGCGCGCUGCGGGCAGAGCCGGGGAGCCGGAAGAGCAGAGGCCGAGCGCCGUCGGAGCCGCGUCUGGUUGGAGAAAGAGGCGGACGUGAAGGGGCGGGGGAGCCGCGGAGGAAAACCGGGACCGGCGGGAACGUCUCGAGACCCCUGCGCGCUUCGCGCGCUCGCUCGGAACUCGGCAGGCGGCGCUGCGCCGGGCCCCGAGGAAACCUGGAGGUCCCCGCCCUCCCCGCGCCCGAAACACCGCGCGUCCUGAUAGGCCCGCGCCCAGCAGCCCCCUCCCCGCGCCCGCCGCACCGGGGCCCCACCGCCUCCUGCGUCACCGCCGCCCCCGCCCGCCCGGGGACCCCGCGGUGACCGCGCUGCUGGGGGUUGAGGGACGCGUUGCGAGCCCCGGAUACAUUGUACCCUGGGGGUACAUAAUGAAGGAUGCUGUACCUGAAAGGAAAAGGGCAUCUCCAAAAGGGGACUUCGCGGGUGGAAUUUCCUUCCAAAAUCCUCGAGGAACAAGGUGUAUUUCCGACCUGGAUUAAUGAAUCCCCCCUCCUAUCCCGCACUUCCUGUGGAAACAGUGUCAGGAUGUGGCGCGGACCUAUGUGCGUCCCUUAUACCAGGACUUGCCUUCAACGCUGAAGGUGAACCCUGGGUCAUCCUCGCUGUAUUCAGGCGGCGCUGCAAAGGCUUCUGGGCAGCCAAUAGGCCCUUGAGCGCCUCAGCCCCAUCUUGCUUCAGUAGGCAAACGGACGGGUGUCUUCAUCCACCUCCUAGGCCGUGGUCUACCCUUCGUUCAAAUGUUUCUUCCUGCUAGCUGACUGUCCAGGUCCUUAGCUGUAUCACAUUGUUCAAAUGUGUGUGCGCAGGUGUUUCUUUUUCAACUAAUCAUGCAGGAAGUGGCGGGAUGCCUUACUGCCAUUAUUUGCUGAGUAUUUCCAGAUGGAACUGUAGUUGAUAGCCAAUAAAUUUGGUACGUUUUUAUCGGGAUGCGCAUGCCAUAGAUCGUCCCUGAGAUAAUGCUUUGCAAUGUGGAACCUGAAACACCUAUGUAUAAGCCCAAGCCUUUCAUUAAUAUUAACUGUGAGACCCCUGGAAGCUACUACUUUGUGUGAGCCUGUUUUCUCCGCCCUCAAACAGUGGAUAUAAUACCCCCUUGCAAGGCUGUGAGAUUAAAUGGAUAACUGUGCAUAAUGCUAAGCAUGGUGUCUGGGACGUAAGAGGUUCCUUAUAUCCCAUUAGUUCACUAGGUGGGAUCACCAAGUUGAAAUUCAUUUUUUAAUAUUUUGCUUGUUGGAGUACUCACAACUCAACUUCUCUGGCUAAUUUGAUGUUUAAUUUGAAAGGUAAUGACACUAUUUUGUAACAUUUUUAGAUGCUUAAGGGAAAUUUGAAAUGCAAAGUGGAACAACAUUAAAAGGAAACUCAUUUGUAAAAUAAAGAAAAACAAAAUCUAUGCAAGCCAAAGAAGUCAUGAAUGCUGAGGAAGCAAAAAUUGUGAUUUUCCCCUCUCCAAUCCCACUGUUCAUUUAUCUUUAUUUGCAUCAGUUAGACUGGUUGUUUACAAAGCUAAUACCACCAUACCACUAGUCAAAAGAGAGUUCCAUACCUUUGCUGACCUAGUGGUAGACCAUUCUUCUCAGGCAAGGUUGGCUUUUUCAAAGGAAAGUUUACUAUAAACUGAGAGAGAAGUAGUAACAUUAUAGAAUUUGAUGAUUCAUCUAUAAGAAAUCUGAAGACUGUACAGAUGAACCUAGCUGGCAUAGAUGACUGCCAUCGGUUUCUCCCCUAAUUUUAACCCUAUCUCUUGAUUUCUCUUGUUCGGCAAGUGUCCCCCACGGUACUUGUUAAGACUGAUUAGCUCUCCCCAGGAGUAGACUUUUAUCUGUUGUACCAGAAAACAAGCCUAGUCGGUGCAGCCAUUGUUGUGAGGAUUAAAUUAAAUGAAUUAAUGCCUGUAAAGAGCAUGGGAGAGGCUGGUACAUGGUAAGCACCAUUCGAGUAUUUGUAAAAUAUAUUUUUAGAAAUCUCUCCUUGCAGUCACUCUCUGUCCACAGUAACAAAUGAUGGUUGUCUCUUUCUGCUUAAACACCAAAUUUCCUAGUGGGUCACCCAUUAAGUCUGUCUCUCAUAGUCUGAGGGAUGCCUCAGGGUCUCAGCUCAUGUUUAAAACAGAGAUAGAUUAAAUACUCAGUGCACAGGAAAUGCUAACUGAGCCUUUCCAAACCCACAAUAUCAACUGAUAUUUCCUCAGGAGCCAAGUAAGCCCCAUAACAGAGGAAUGACCUUGCAGAAAUCUAAAAGUCUAUUUUUUAAUGCCAUUAAAAAGAUCUUAAUCCUGUAAUAGUGAGACAUAACUUACAACAGUAAGACAGAAAUAAAUUUUAUUUAAUGGCUUUGUUCUAAGUUUAUUACCACCAAGUAUUCCUUUUAUUAUUUUCUGUCCACUAGGGACACCGUGCUCUUAAAUAUUUGGGUAUCAAACUGAAUAAAUUAAAUCAUAAUUAAUGGUUUUCUAGUUGUAUUAAUAAGAAGUAUACACAGAUUGCAACUGAAAAAAGAAAAAUGUACUUGUUAAUGAGAUGGAUGAUAUUUUACUUAGUCUGUGCUGACUGAGUGAGGAUGAACAAUAUACACUGUGUUUUGAAUUUGCUUGUGAGCAUGGUAAAAUAAAAAUAUCUAAUUUUUUUCAGUGAAUUGGGGGGAAGAAAUGAAAGAAAAUAGUGUAUAGAAUCUCUUUUAUGGUAGCUAAAGAUUCAGAUCUUCAUGUUACAAUCACUGAUUAAAAAUAGUAAUUAUAUCUGUUUAAAUGCAUAGUCUCAGCAUCUGAGACUCAGCUAAAGAAAAUUAUUGGGUUGAUGAAUUAUGCUUAGACAAUUGAAUUUGUAUUUAUAUAAUUGUAGAUCAUAUAAAAGACAUUGGCAUGAUUCAUAAAAUGGAAUAUUUAUAUACAUAUAAUUGAGUGUAUAUAUAUAUACAUAUAUAUAUAUACACACACACAUAUGUAAUUCCAAAAUGUUGUGGUACAGAUACUUCUCAAAAAUUUGUAUUGUGAAUAUGAUCAGAUCUCUGGUGAGAAAAAAGAUAUUGGUCCCUGUAUCUUAUUUAGAUUAUAUAAAAGAAAUUUUAAAUGUCUUACAUUUCAGAACAAAUAUGAUCACUUUAAAGCCAAAUUUUAAUAAUUCUAUAUAUAUGAAAUAAUAUAGAACUGUAUGAUAAUUCUGUAUUGUAGUUAAAAUUUUAAAAGAAAACCACUGUAGUGGUAGCAGCCCUACUUCAGCAUUUGACCCAAAUUUCUUACUAAUCUCAAAGUGCCUGAACUCUUUGAUCUUAGAUCCAAGAUCAUUCUUUCACAUCAUGCAAAUGUCCUAGCAUUUUCAAGCAUUCCAACCACUUUGAUAUCAUUUUCACAACAUCCCUUUGGGGUUGGUAUGGCAAGUAUUAUUAUGUCCUUCUGAGAUGAGGAAGCCAAAGCUCGGGAGGUAAAAUACCGGGCCUGAGGUCACACAGUAUAAAGGUAGCAGAGCUGGGAAGAAAGCCCAGAUGUUAUCAGCCUACUUCAGUGCCCUUACUACAAACCACACCAGCUCUUAUCUUCACACACAUUAUUUUGCCUAUCAGGGUAAGUGUUUUCUUCAUGUAUUUUUUUCAUUUUUUAGAAAUAAAUAUAUGUAAUCCAUCUUCCAAACUUUCUUUACCAAUUUUGCCUUAAACAUCUGUGCCAAGAAACUAUAUAAAGUGUACUACAUGGUACACUGACAGGGGAAAAACUGGUACAUAAAGUGAAGGCCCGACUACUAUCUAGUCCUUGCUUGUCAUCAGUUGGUAAGUCAAAACGAGAAAAUUAAUGGAUGGUGUUAGCUUUAUUCAUUCUUUUUCUCAGCUUAAUGCUAGGUUUAUUCAGUAGAUUGCUGGUUUUGCCUUACAGGGAACCUGAGCUGCCAAACAAUAGCCACUGACUGGACUCAAGGCCAGCAAAUCCUAGGCCGACUGGAAAAAGAAGCCAGCCCAAC
rnacentral:lncRNA from 1 species